GGGUCUGUUUUUGGAAUUCGACAGGUUACUUAGAGCAUUGAUUGCGUUUCGCCGUCCGGGCGCAAAACGGGCAGAAAUUUUAACUGCAAAAAACGAAAACUCUUUCGCUAUCGCUGCCUAAAACACAGUGAUGCGUAGCUUAAUCUUGGUUGCUGGUGUCUGAGAUUAGGCCAUAAAAAGCCAGAUCGUGGUGGUCUUUACAUCUGGAAGAACAUCAUUAAAUUAAUCAGAUUAGUUGUAUUGGUUGGCCUUGAGCUGCGGCGUACGGUACAAUGAAAUUUAAGUAGUGGCUCUAUAAGCGUAGAUAUUGAUGUAUCAGGUGAUUUGGACAGGGGUUCGACUCCCCUCAGAUCCA
rnacentral:tmRNA from 1 species